AGCCCAAGAUUGAAAGCUGGCGUCUUCGGCGUCCGCAUUGUAAUCUCAAGAAGUGUUUUCCGCUUCGGACCAAGCCUAAGUCCCUUGGAAAAGGGCAUCAUAGAGGGUGAUAAUCCCGUACAUGGCUUGGAGCGCCCGAAGCUUUGUGAUACGCUUUCUAAGAGUCGAGUUGUUUGGGAAUGCAGCUCAAAAUGGGUGGUAAAUGCCAUCUAAGGCUAAAUAUUGGGGAGAGACCGAUAGCGAACAAGUACAGUGAUGGAAAGAUGAAAAGAACUUUGAAAAGAGAGUUAAACAGUACGUGAAAUUGCCAAAAGGGAAGGGUAGGAGGUCAGAGAUGCGGCCUGGGAUUCAGCCUUGCUUUUGCUUGGUGUUUUUCCCAGAUUGCAGGCCAACGUCGGUUUUGGGCACUGGAGAAGGGUAGGAGGAACGUGGCACCUCUCGGGGUGUGUUAUAGCCUCCUACUGGAUACAGCGACCGAGACCGAGGACAGCAGCGUACUCGCAAGAGCGGGCCUUCGGGCACCUUUACGCUUAGGGCGUUGGCAUAAUGGCCCUCUACCACCCGUCUU
rnacentral:rRNA from 1 species